rnacentral:rRNA from 1 species
UAUGACUGAACGCCUCUAAGUCAGAAUCCCCCCUAGACGCGAUGAUACCAUGGUGCCGCGGCCUUCACUUGGACCGGGAUAGCCGGCUUCGGUCGGUGUGCAGGGCCAUUCGUGACGGGGCUGGGGUGCGGCCGGAUGGUGGCCGCCCCUCUCUCGACUCGCACCGCCAUGUUUGUGGAGAACCGGGUGCUAAAUCACCUGCACACGACCUGAUUCUGGGUCAGGGUUUCG